UGGCUAUAUCACGUUGAAACACCGGUUCUCGUACGAUCACCGAAGUUAAGCAAGAUCGAAUCUGGUCAGUACCUAAAUGGGUGAACGCUUGAAAAGACCUGAUGCUGUAA